AUUGAACGCUGGCGGCAGGCCUAACACGUGCAAGUCGAACGGUAACAGGAAGAAGCUUGCUUCUUUGCUGACGAGUGGCGGACGGGUGAGUAAUGUCUGGGAAACUGCCUGAUGGAGGGGGAUAACUACUGGAAACGGUAGCUAAUACCGCAUAACGUCGCAAGACCAAAAAGGGGGACCUUCGGGCCUCUUGCCAUCGGAUGUGCCCAGAUGGGAUUAGCUAGUAGGUGGGGUAACGGCUCACCUAGGCGACGAUCCCUAGCUGGUCUGAGAGGAUGACCAGCCACACUGGAACUGAGACACGGUCCAGACUCCUACGGGAGGCAGCAGUGGGGAAUAUUGCACAAUGGGCGCAAGCCUGAUGCAGCCAUGCCGCGUGUAUGAAGAAGGCCUUCGGGUUGUAAAGUACUUUCAGCGGGGAGGAAGGGAGUAAAGUUAAUACCUUUGCUCAUUGACGUUACCCGCAGAAGAAGCACCGGCUAACUCCGUG
rnacentral:rRNA from 1 species